GAGAGCACAGUAUGAUGAAAGUUGUAAGCUGUGUUCGGGGGGAGUUAUUGUCUAUCAUUGGCCUCUAUGGUAGAAUAAGUCGGGGGACCUGAGAGGCGGUGGUUUACCCUGC
rnacentral:ncRNA from 1 species